rnacentral:lncRNA from 1 species
AUGGCCUGCAAGAGAAAGGAAGAAUACAAAAUGGAAGCCUGGGAUAGAGAUCAUCUCCUAGGAAAGGGGGAGGCCACCCAAGGCCUGUCAGGGGGAGGGCUCCACUUCUCAGCCCAUCUGCAGUAGGUCCACAUUCGGGGUAGGCAAGAGCAAGGCCUGCUGGAAAGGGAAACUGCUCAUCAAGAAACUGAGGGAGGCUGGGCACGGUGGUUCAUGCCUGUAAUCCCAGCACUCUGGAAGUCCAAGCAGCACUGGCUCCUUCUUAGUCCCAUGGAAGCACAGAUCAACAUCAUUGCCCUUGCAAACUUCUCUCAGCUUAGGAGAGUCUACUCGCUCUUUGCACAUUGUUGACAUGAAAUGAAUAUUAAACACCAAACCUCAUAGAGGCCAGCCCUGCUGGGCGAGCAAUGAA